AAUCACUCAGCUCUCAUGAUCAGGAACGCGGUGAAAAUGCCAAAAAGUAAACUUUUGAGGCAGCGAUGAACGGACCUAAAUAUGAAAAGACACAACAUUUAAGCCACAGCAAGUUGGAAGCCUAGAUCAGAAAGGCCUGAAUACAUGCUGGACCAGGCACAGGACCAUCACAGGACGUCAAACACAAUUUACUUAUUCACACCUACGAGAAACUCAUCGACUGACAUGAUUUGGAAAAAGUGAAGAAAGCCCAUGUGGAUUAAGCCAAACUUUUACUCACAGUAGCUUGGGUUUCUGGAGUUGCUCAGGACAAAGUGACAAAUGUUUAAUGCUCUUAAAAAUGUUAAUGCUUUUAAAGUGUUUUCUUGGCACAUAGGGAUAGCAUAACAGACUGCUGUACCACCUGAGUUUUGUAUAUUUAGGCUUGUCAUAUUAAUUGUACUGAAGCUGACAAUUGUAAUACAAAUGAGAAAUGUAAAAGGUGGUGAGCCACAAGCCAUCUCUACCCGCAUAGACUUGGCCCUUGGUGGAUUCUCCUUUUAUAUUAAAUAAUGUUUACUUUUUA